rnacentral:rRNA from 1 species
GUCUACGGCCAUGCCACCCUGAACAAGCCCGAUCCUGUCUAAUCUUGGAAGCUAAGCAGGGUUGGGCCUGGUUAGUACUUGGAUGGGAGACCAUCUAGAAAGACCAGAUGUUGUAGGUG